UGAGGAAUAUUGGACAAUGGGCGCAAGCCUGAUCCAGCAAUGCCGCGUGCAGGAUGAAGGCCUUCGGGUUGUAAACUGCUUUUGUACGGAGCGAAAAGGUCUGCCCUAAUACGGUGGGCUCAUGACGGUACCGUAAGAAUAAGCACCGGCUAACUACGUGCCAGCAGCCGCGGUAAUACGUAGGGUGCGAGCGUUAAUCGGAAUUACUGGGCGUAAAGCGUGCGCAGGUGGUUAUAUAAGACAGAUGUGAAAUCCCCGGGCUCAACCUGGGACCUGCAUUUGUGACUGUAUAGCUAGAGUACGGUAGAGGGGGAUGGAAUUCCGCGUGUAGCAGUGAAAUGCGUAGAUAUGCGGAGGAACACCGAUGGCGAAGGCAAUCCCCUGGACCUGUACUGACGCUCAUGCACGAAAGCGUGGGGAGCAAACA
rnacentral:rRNA from 1 species